AUAGGGAAACUCCGUUUUAAAGUGUCUUCUUUUGAAGGCCGUCUAUCGAAAGGGAAUGUGGUUAAUAUUCCACAACCGCGAUGUGGAUUUUAAGCGGCAACGCAAAUGAACUUGGCGACGCCAGCAGGAGCCCUGGAAAGAGUUAUCUUUUCUUUUUAACAGUUGCAGCACCCUGGAAUCAGAUUAUCUGGAGAUAGGGUUGUAUGACUGGUAGAGCUCUACAUCUCUCGUAGAGUCCGGUGCGCUUUUGAUGGUCCUUGAAAAGCCAAGGGAAUGUUAGUUUCACACGCGAUCGUACCCAUAUCCGCA
rnacentral:rRNA from 1 species